rnacentral:lncRNA from 1 species
ACGGAGGUACUGCGUGGUGGUGGUGACACUGAAGGUAGUCGGCGGCUUGGUGCCGCUAGCUGGCCGCGACGACCAGUAUUGUCCAUUGUGUGCGUGCGCGCGUUCAACUCCAGAGAUGCCAUUCUGAUAUUCUUUCUGUUCCUGCUCGGUACGGAAGAAUCAAUGUUUGAUUAUUCCGGGACUUGCCAAGCUUGGAUAUGUAGGGUUAUAGACACGCGUUCAAUAUCAGCCGUCAGCAAAUGAAAGCGACGGCUCUGACCUUCAGGAAAACAUAUUUUAGAGGAUGUGUACCCAGACUCUUCUUAUCUAACAACAUUUGAAGAGUCAGGAACUCAGGAUAGUGAGACCCGAAUGAAUGAGCUCUAAAAAUCCUUUAAAGUGUCACUUUUGCUUUCAACACAAAGACACAGGGCUUACGUUAGUACCAUCACGAC